rnacentral:rRNA from 1 species
GACGAACGCUGGCGGCGUGCUUAACACAUGCAAGUCGAACGCUGAAGACCUGGCUUUUGUUGGGUUGGAUGAGUGGCGAACGGGUGAGUAACACGUGAGUAACCUGCCCUCUUCUUUGGGAUAACGCCCGGAAACGGGUGCUAAUACUGGAUAUUCACUGAUCUUCGCAUGGGGGUUGGUGGAAAGGUUUGUUCUGGUGGGGGAUGGGCUCGCGGCCUAUCAGCUUGUUGGUGGGGUGAUGGCCUACCAAGGCUUUGACGGGUAGCCGGCCUGAGAGGGUGACCGGUCAUAUUGGGACUGAGAUACGGCCCAGACUCCUACGGGAGGCAGCAGUGGGGAAUAUUGCACAAUGGGCGAAAGCCUGAUGCAGCGACGCCGCGUGAGGGAUGGAGGCCUUCGGGUUGUAAACCUCUUUCGCUCAUGGUCAAGCCGCAACUGUGGGUUGUGGUGAGGGUAGUGGGUAAAGAAGCGCCGGCUAACUACGUG